AAUAGAUACCCAGGUAGUCCACGCCGUAAACGAUGAAUACUAGGUGUAGGGGUUGUCACGACCUCUGUGCCGCCGCUAACGCAUUAAGUAUUCCGCCUGGGGAGCACGGUCGCAAGAUUAAAACUCAAAGGAAUUGACGGGGGCCCGCACAAGCAGCGGAGCAUGUGGUUUAAUUCGAAGCAACGCGAAGAACCUUACCUAGACUUGACAUCUCCUGCAUUACCCUUAAUCGGGGAAGUUCCUUCGGGGAACAGGAAGACAGGUGGCGCAUGGUUGUCGUCAGCUCGUGUCGUGAGAUGUUGGGUUAAGUCCCGCAACGAGCGCAACCCUUAUUGUUAGUUGCUACCAUUUAGUUGAGCACUCUAGCGAGACUGCCCGGGUUAACCGGGAGGAAGGUGGGGAUGGACGUCAAAUCAUCAUGCCCCUUAUGUCUAGGGCUACACACGUGCUACAAUGGCAAGUACAAAGAGAAGCAAGACCGCGAGGUGGAGCAAAACGUCAAAAACUUGUCUCAGUUCGGAUUGUAGGCUGAAACUCGCCUACA
rnacentral:rRNA from 1 species